rnacentral:rRNA from 1 species
AUACUGGGUGUCUUGAGUACAGUAGAGGCAGGCGGAAUUCGUGGUGUAGCGGUGAAAUGCUUAGAUAUCACGAAGAACUCCGAUUGCGAAGGCAGCCUGCUGGACUGUAACUGACGCUGAUGCUCGAAAGUGUGGGUAUCAAACAGGAUUAGAUACCCCGGUAGUCCACACAGUAAACGAUGAAUACUCGCUGUUUGCGAUAUACAGUAAGCGGCCAAGCGAAAGCGUUAAGUAUCCCACCUGGGGAGUACGCCGGCAACGGUGAAACUCAAAGGAAUUGACGGGGGCCCGCACAAGCGGAGGAACAUGUGGUUUAAUUCGAUGAUACGCGAGGAACCUUACCCGGGCUUGAAUUGCAACUGAAUGAUGUGGAGACAUGUCAGCCGCAAGGCAGUUGUGAAGGUGCUGCAUGGUUGUCGUCAGCUCGUGCCGUGAGGUGUCGGCUUAAGUGCCAUAACGAGCGCAACCCUUAUCGAUAGUUACCAUCAGGUGAUGCUGGGGACUCUGUCGAGACUGCCGUCGUAAGAUGUGAGGAAGGUGGGGAUGACGUCAAAUCAGCACGGCCCUUACGUCCGGGGCUACACACGUGUUACAAUGGGGGGUACAGAAGGCAGCUACACGGCGACGUGAUGCUAAUCCCGAAAGCCUCUCUCAGUUCGGAUUGGAGUCUGCAACCCGACUCCAUGAAGCUGGAUUCGCUAGUAAUCGCGCAUCAGCCACGGCGCGGUGAAUACGUUCCCGGGCCUUGUACACACCGCCCGUCAAGCCAUGAAAGCCGGGGGUACCUGAAGUGCGUAACCGCAAGGAGCGCCCUAGGGUAAAACUGGUA